CAGUAGGGAGGAAGGUAGUGUAGUUAACACCUGCAUUAUUUGACGUUACCUACAGAAGAAGCACCGGCUAACUCCGUGCCAGCAGCCGCGGUAAUACGGAGGGUGCGAGCGUUAAUCGGAAUUACUGGGCGUAAAGCGCAUGCAGGCGGCCUGUUAAGUCAGAUGUGAAAGACCCGGGGCGUUAACCUCGGAAUUGCAUUUGAAACUGGCAGGCUAGAGUCUUGUAGAGGGGGGUAGGAAUUUCAGGUGUAGCGGUGAAAUAGCGUAGAGAUCUGAAGGAAUACCAGUGGCGAAGGCGGCCCCCUCGGACAAAGACUGACGCUCAGAUGCGAAAGCGUGGGGAGCAAACAGGAUUAGAUACCCUGGUAG
rnacentral:rRNA from 1 species